CACAAUCAUAUUUGAAAUGAUUUAUUUCUGAAAGAUCUCUGAUUAAAGGGGAGAUCCCUGAUUUUGUGCAAACGACUUUGUCAAAGAAAAUAACUGAGUAUCCGAAACUCAGAGAGAAAAAAAAAGACUCUGAUACCAAGUUGAAUAAAGAGAGAUUCAGAACAUUACAGAUAAAGGGAUCGUGAUUUCUUUCACGAAUUAGAACAGUAGAGUAUACAUUGAAUUUAUAAAAAGAAAGGGGUCAUAAUUGUCUUCUAAUUACUAGCCUUUCUAAUUACUAGCCUAGUAACCUGAUAGAUCCCUGAUUUAUUCUAAAGGAUCUCUGAUUAAAGGGGAGAUCCCUGAUUUUGUACAAACGACUUUGCUAGGAAAAAAAAACUGAAUAUUCCGAACUUAGAAAGAGAAAAAAAUGAGACUCUGAUAUCAAGUUGAAUAAAGAGAGAUUCAAAACAUUAAAGAUAGAGGUAUCGUGAUUUCUUUCACUAAUUAGAACAGUAGAGUGUACAUUACUUUAUACAAAAAAAAAAAGUAGCUCUAAUUGUCUUCUAAUUACUAGCCUAGUAACAAAGGAUAUCUCUGAUUUAUGAUUAAAGGAUCUCUAAUUAAUGGGGAGAUCUCUGAUUUUCACAAUGCUAAAUAAGCUACGGACUAAAUAAGAUACAUAUUUUAUGAAGCUAAAUAAGCUACGGUUAAUAACUUCCAUCUCAUACUAUUUCAUCUCGAGCUAUCAUCGUUGGCCUUGACAUGAAACCACUAUCUAAGCAUAUAUUUUCAGCCUGAACUUGUGUGCUUAUCCUCUUUGAAUGCAUAAUAAAAUAGCUUUCUCGUUAUAUAUAUUUCACAAAUAAAAUAAAGCAUAAAUUCAUGAAUAAUUUACUAUAUAUAUUAACCGUCAACUAAAUAUUGCAUUAGUUAUAUCAAGAUUAUUUUUUUUCUUAUACAUCCAACCAAACAUAGUGCAUUAAGUAGUUAUGCAUAGAUCAUUUUUUUUCUACCAAUCAAACCGUUUAAAUUGGAUUUGUUAUGUUUUAAAAAGAUACUUUCUGCGUUUGGUUUUACUUCAUUAAUAAAAAUAAUGUUUACAUUGUCUUAAAAUUAAUUUAAAGAAAAUAUAACUAAUGCUAAGGGUAAAAUAGGAAAAAAGAAAUUUUUUUUUUUUAUAUGUCAAAAAUGACUGUGAAAGUAGAAACACAAUUAGGAAAUUAGUGACAAGUAAAAGUGAACAGAGGAUGUAUUAAAUAUUCAUUCUCGUCUUACAAGUCAACUGUGUGUGAUAUUAUCAUCCAUUUUGAUAAGAUUAUUCUUGAGGAAUAAAUUUAAAACAUAAAUGGUUCCAAAUCAAUUAUUUUUCCUCAAAUUCAACAAUAAUUAUAUUAACGUUGAAAGCAGAGUCUCGUGCUGAUAACGUAUUAUGAAAUAACUAAGAAUAAAGAAGAAAAGUAUAGAGAGAAUAGAUCAACUAGAUUUUGAUAGAUCUUAUCUAUAUAGACAUUCAAUAUAAUGUAAAUACAUUUAUAACAUAUGUAUUAAAUUUAAACAAAUAAAUCCAAGACUUUUUAUUAAGUUUUUUUUUAGGCUAAUUUCCUGCUUUUAUAAAGUAAAAAAUUUAAUAGCUUGUUUGGUUGAAGUGAUAAAGAAAAAUACUUAAAUAGUAUAAAAUCUCUCAUAAAUAUAGAAAUUACAAAUUUAACUCAUGAAACCAUGAUUUGUCCAACUUACUCAAAUUUAUUAAUUUAUCUCAUUUAAAAGUGAAUUAGGUUGAUAAGUAGUACAAAUUAACCCAUAAAAAAAUUGUCAUAAUAUUUUUUUGGAGAUUAUAAAUUAUAUAUAGCUAUAAUAAAAAAAAUAAUUUUAUUAAUUCAUCACAGAAUUAUAAAAGGACAAAUAAAAAAAAUUGUAACUUAAUAAGAAUUUAUUUCUGUCCAACACAUGCAUGCCAUUUAGUCAAAAUAAAGCAAUUUAAUUUCUUUGGCCCAACACUAUUUUAGUGAAAUUGCCAACAUUUCUCUGGUUGCUUGAUUAUGAAAUGUCUCAUUAUAAUCACUUUUAGUAGUUUGAUAAAUAUGAUUAACUGACUAUAUUUAUGUAAUAUUAAAAUUGGUUCCCAGCUAAUCAAACACAAACCUCCAUUCACCCUGUGCAUUCAUUUUGGGAUAUUUUCAAAAAUAUACCAUUUGAAAAAAAUAAUUAUAUUAUUAGCUCGUUGCAUGGGCUUUACCUAGUGCGGUUUACAUCUCCUGUGUGGUUUACGAGCAAUUGCACAGCGAGGGGUUUACCCAGUGCUCACCACAGAGUGCUCACCCAAAGGGCAGAUGUUGUAGCGGCUCUAGGUUAUCUUGAAAUUUCAAAAAAAAAAAAAAAACAUUAUGCGACUUUAUAUAAUAUUAUGAAUUUACGGUAUAAAAAUCUCUCUCUCUCUCUCUCUCUCUAUAUAUAUAUAUAUAUAUAUAUAUAUAUAUAUAUAUAUAUACUAGUUUAGCUAGACAUGCCUCGCACGUGUAACAUUUGAUUAUUUAAAAUUAAAUGAUUUUAUCUAUUGCAAAGAUUUUAAUGAAGUGUAAAAGUUUAAAUCACUUUAAAAGAUUCUUCACACUUUAAUAUAAUAACGUAAACAUAAACAUACUUUUUACUGUAAGCACACAUAUAUAUUUUGCAUCAUCACUUUUACGUUUGUUAUGCAGUACCUCCUUCCCUUGAUGUCAUAGACUAAGAGAGACGCAACAAUUUGAAUCAUAUUUGUGAUAUGGUUAUUUUUUUUUUUGUUUCUAUAUUUAAAAUUCUUCCUUGUUUUUAAAGUCAAAUAUUUACAAAUUCAUUGUUAUUACGUACUUAAAACUUUUUAAAAUUUGGAACUUUUUGAUUUUUUUCUUAUUUUAACGCUUUUACAUUUAUUUCUAGGUUUUUCAAAUCUUCUUUAAAUCACUUAAAACUUUUAAACAUUUGGUACUUUUUGAAUUUUUCUUAUUUUAACGCUUUUAUAUUUAUUUCUAGAUUUUUCAAAUCUUCUUUAAAUCAAAUUUAGUUGAUUUAGAAUUCUAAAAUUAAUGAAAAAAAAUAUUAGUUAUCAUUAAUUCUGAUGACUUCUAAUAAGGAAAGAUUUUACCAUAAAUAUAUUUAAUUAAUUUUCAACUCUUUUAUAUUAGUAAAAAAAAUAGUGAAAGAUUUUACCAUAAAUAUAUUUAAUUAAUUUUCAACUCUUAAAUAUAAAUAUUAGAAAAAAAUAGUGAACAUACGAUUUUGUCUAAUGCAAAAAACUUUUAAUGAAGGGCAAAAAGUUCAAAUUACAUUUCUAAGACCCUUCACACUUUUAAUAUAUUAUAGAUAUAUCACACCCCUUUUUCCACUCCGAAAGGAUAAGAUUUUCAGUUUGAAAGGAUUUUUAUUAUUAAAGUGACAAAAGAUUAAAAAUUUAUUUUGAAAAAGGACUAUUUACAUUUUUUAUUCAGAGUCGUCACUUGGCAUAAUCCGGUGUGCCAAGUCACCUUUGGAAAAUCCUUUUCAAAACUGUUUUGACUUUUUUAAAACUGGUUUGCGAACAGAGAUUCCAGCUAAGGAAUUCUGUUGACCGAGGAAAAGGUGUUAGGCACUCCUCGAUUCCGUGGUUCGACCAUGGUCGCUUGGUAGAGUGUAUCGGCUAAUUUUAAUACUAUGAAUGUACAAACCACACACAAAAAAAAGAUCAAUCAAACAAACAAAUCCAAAACAAUGUCCAGUCCAAAUUAUACAAUCCCAAAAAUUGUAAUAAAAAAAUGCAAAAAUGUAAAUCGUAUUCUAAACUAAUCCUAGACUAAUGCUCUACCCAACGCUUCGGGUCUUUCUCACGAAUGUAUUUCGAGUACAAGAUACCUCGGGGCAUUCCCCGACUAAAUAAAUACAUUUUUCAGUGUCAGAAAAUCUAAACUAUUCAAUAGAACUUCAAACAUUCAACAGAAUUUCAAAUAUUCGACCAAACACUUAAUCCUAAAUUUUUGCCUACCCAAACCUAUAUUUACCUAUCCGUUGCAACAUGAUCCUAUCAAGUUCACAAACCUGAUAUUUAUUCCAAAUUAAACAAAGCAACAAUAGAUCAAAGUUAACCCAAAUGCAUCUUACCAAACAUGCAAUUCCCAUCCCUCAUUUCAUGCUCAAUCACACGCUUAAUUCAUUCUUCGAUUAACGAUUCAAUUUUCUCUUCAAAAUCCAAAACCAACCUCAACCGUACACACAAAAAAUAUUCAAGCAUGGCAAGCACACAAAGACAUUCAUCUACAAAAAUAAUCGAGAUUCAAGAUAAAGAUAGAGAACGAGAGAAGAAAUGGACCUCAAAUUUUGCUUUUAUGAAUGUUAUCCUGUUGAAACAAAAGAGAAUUCGCGCCGAGAACCUCGACAAUGAACCAAACUCCAACCCGGUAUUUGGGAAAUUGUAACCUCGAACAGAGUAUUUGGGAAAUUGUAACCUCGAACAGAGUAGCAACAGAGCAAUCUGCCCAGAAACUAUUUCAACAAAGGAAAAUCGAUGAACCCAAAGCCCGAUUUUGAAACUAAAAUGCUAAGACAGAUGAUCCAAAGCCUCAGUCAACACAAUAAAAGACCAAAACUGAUGUAUCUUGAGCUUCGGUGAGCUCAGACGGAAGCAAAACACAACGGAUUAAGACAGAUUCUGGAUCGACGAGGCCUAAAACCGCUGGACAACCACUGGUUCCGGCGAGACUAGCUGUUUGACUGUUUCCGACCAGAUUCAUCCAAGAUAGGGAGAAAACCUAGAGAUUCCGGUGAAGUAGUCGCCUGAACAGUGACUAAACGCACAAAAAAAUCUUUUUCCCCUUUGAUUCUCACUUCAUCUCACCCACUUUUCUUCUUUUCUCAUUGUUUUCACUCAUGUUUUCGAAUUUCAAUCAGUGUGUAUGUAGUGUGUUUGUGAAGAAAAGAAAGAAAUGAAAAUGGAGCUCUUUAAGUGGUCUGUGUUAGGAGUGUGCAUCAAUGGUGGAGUUCUAUUGUUGUUCUACCAUGGAAAUUAAAAAAAAAUGGAGGUGGUCUAUAUUUCUAAAGUGGGGUGAGGGUCAAAGAAAGAAAGAAAAAACAUUGAGAGUCGUUCCCUGAUGAAGAUGAUCCUAAAAAAAAAAUGGGUCCUCUUUUCCUUUUCCUUUGUGAUCAAGAAAUGUGAGGAAAAAAACGGGGGCACUUGAGUGGGGGGUGAGAUGAUUUAUUUUGAUUGGGUAGGUUGUUAGGAUAAGAUAAAAUUAGGUAGAGGUUAUUGUUUUGUUAUUUUGUGGAGGGAUUAUAACAUGGGUGAGGGUACAUGGUAGGAUAAAGUAAAAAAUAGGUAAAAAUAAUAUCGGGGAGAAACGAAAUUAGGUGUCUACAAGAUAUAGAUUAUAG
rnacentral:lncRNA from 1 species